rnacentral:rRNA from 1 species
GACGAACGCUGGCGGCGUGCUUAACACAUGCAAGUCGAACGGUAAGGCCCUUCGGGGUACACGAGUGGCGAACGGGUGAGUAACACGUGGGUGAUCUGCCCUGCACUUCGGGAUAAGCCUGGGAAACUGGGUCUAAUACCGGAUAGGACCCUGGGAUGCAUGUCCUGGGGUGGAAAGCUUUUGCGGUGUGGGAUGGGCCCGCGGCCUAUCAGCUUGUUGGUGGGGUGAUGGCCUACCAAGGCGACGACGGGUAGGCGGCCUGAGAGGGUGACCGGCCACACUGGGACUGAGAUCCGGCCCAGACUCCUACGGGAGGCAGCAGUGGGGAAUAUUGCACAAUGGGCGCAAGCCUGAUGCAGCGACGCCGCGUGAGGGAUGACGGCCUUCGGGUUGUAAACCUCUUUCAGCACCGACGAAGCGCAAGUGACGGUAGGUGCAGAAGAAGGACCGGCCAACUACGUGCCAGCCGCCGCGGUAA